AACUAAAAAAGGGAAUUGAACCCUUGAUAAAAAAAACUUAAAUUUCUCGCAUUACCCCCUUUGCUAUUCUAGC
rnacentral:tRNA from 1 species